rnacentral:lncRNA from 1 species
GCACAGUUGAGUGAAGACGCAACAUCAUGUGUGGUAAAUCCACAAGUUUAUGCUUUUGUAAGACGUAGAAGGAAGUAAUAUGAUUACACUUGAGCAAUCCAUUUAUGGUUAAAGAUUGACAUGCUGUUAAAAUCUUUUUGUAAGAAGCCCACGGAGAAACUGCAAUAUGGGCCUGCAAGCAACAAGGUCUUUGGUUGACAUAUAUCAUGCUCAAUUUCAUGUAUCUCUUAUAUCAAAUCCAAAUAAAU